UACGUAGGGACCGAGCGUUGUCCGGAUUCAUUGGGCGUAAAGAGCUCGUAGGCGGCUGUUCAAGUCGAACGUGAAAACUCGGAGCUCAACUCCGAGCCUGCGUUCGAUACUGGACGGCUAGAGUCUGGUAGGGGGAUCUGGAAUUCCUGGUGUAGCGGUGGAAUGCGCAGAUAUCAGGAGGAACACCUGUGGCGAAAGCGGCUCACUGGACCAUAACUGACGCUGAUGCACGAAAGCUAGGGGAGCAAACAGG
rnacentral:rRNA from 1 species